rnacentral:lncRNA from 1 species
AGAGAAAAUGUGAGUACCCAAGGUGAGCAAAAGAACAGAGUGGCACAAUGACAUAGAUCGAGUGGCAUUCGAUAAAGUUAAUGUGAAAUGACACUAGAGUUAGUGUGAUGUAAAGAACUAAAGUGAUGUAAUGAAUAAAGAAUGAUGAUAAUGACAAUGUGUAAAGUUAAAGUAAAGUGGGGCAAUAAGAACGAGAAAAGUAAAGAACAAGAAUGCUAGAGUUAGCAAGAGUAAUGAAAAUGUAAAGAAUGUGAUUGCAUGAGUUUGCAACAUAAAGUGAUGUAAAGAACACUAGAGCUAGUGUAAAGUCAAGAUUGAACUUAUAAAUCCUUUGAGUUAAGGAUAUGAUCAUACUUGCUAUGAGUUCCGUGCUCGAGGGCGGUCGCUCCCCCUCGGGCGAUGCGCUCCGGAGUUAUGCAUCCGGGUUGGAGUAAACCCGUAAGGACGGUCCUAGCUGGUGAGUUCCUGCGAUGAUGGACUUAAUGUGAAGCAAGUUAAUGUGGCGAAACCCUCGGGCUAGCCUUAAUGAUUAAAGAACAAAGAGUAAAGAACAAAGUGUAAAGUGCAAAGAACUAAAGAACAUGCAUAACCUGCAUUUAUGUAAUGUUGAGCAUAUUUCUUGCUAUUUGUUCAGGCAUAUUAGCAUCAUGUUAUAGAUUGGUUACUAUAUCUUACUUAUCCUUUCUAUUAUGCCUGAGUUAGUCCUAGUGGGAAAGUCGGUGAUGUUGGGGCCGAACCCACUGGGAACUUUGUUGUAGUUCUCACCCCACUAUUUCCACAGAGCCGGGACCGAGCGAGCCGGCGAGCGACCGAGGUAAAGGAAUCGCGCCUUAGUCAGAGGCCACCAAUGUUGGGUUUCAUUUUGUAGUAAAGUACCUUAUGAUCAUCUUUUGUAUGUGAUGAUUAGUAAUGUAAAGAAAAGAAUGCAAAGCUUAUUUUGAGGAAAAUGUGAUGUAAGAAAGAAAUGAUGAAGUGAUGUAAUGGAAUGCGAAGAAUUCAAAAAUUACUAGAUGAAUGCAAUGUAUAUGAUCCAAAAUGAAUCAUGUUACUUGUGAAUGUUUAGUUUCCUUUUUCUUUCACUAAUGGCUAUUGCUUACCCUCGAGUAAGCCGUUUGUGUAUGUUUCCGCUAGUGCACUUCUUAUUGAAAAUGUACAUGUGAUGAGCCUUGGACGGAU